rnacentral:tRNA from 1 species
UGUAAAAUAAGCUAAAUUUAAUGCUGCUGGGUUCAUAACCCAGAAAUGUUUUUUUACUUUUACGA